AUUGAACGCUGGCGGCAGGCCUAACACAUGCAAGUCGAGCGGAUGAAGGGAGCUUGCUCCUGGAUUCAGCGGCGGACGGGUGAGUAAUGCCUAGGAAUCUGCCUGGUCGUGGGGGAUAACGUCCGGAAACGGGCGCUAAUACCGCAUACGUCCUGAGGGUGAAAGUGGGGGAUCUUCGGACCUCACGCUAUCAGAUGAGCCUAGGUCGGAUUAGCUAGUUGGUGGGGUAAAGGCCUACCAAGGCGACGAUCCGUAACUGGUCUGAGAGGAUGAUCAGUCACACUGGAACUGAGACACGGUCCAGACUCCUACGGGAGGCAGCAGUGGGGAAUAUUGGACAAUGGGCGAAAGCCUGAUCCAGCCAUGCCGCGUGUGUGAAGAAGGUCUUCGGAUCGUAAAGAUCUUUAAGUUGCGAGGAAGGGCAGUAAGUUAAUACCUUGCUGUUUUGACGUUACCAACAGAAUAAGCACCGGCUAACUUCGUG
rnacentral:rRNA from 1 species